CCUCCAUCUCCUGGGCGUCACGCCUCUCUCCUCCACCCUGGCUGACCACUGCAGUGCAUCCACGAGUAUUCAGGGGUGUCAACGGACCCGAGCUGUGACUCUAAAGAAGAGACGGCGAGUGGGACAUACACAUCGGACGCUCUGACAAUGCCGGCUCAGGUUCCUGUGAGUUUGCCAUGGCGACCAGUGGGCCCUGACAGCAGCGGGGAUCAUGGUCUUGCAGAGGAAGGGUGUGUGUGUAGUUGAGGGGGUUUGGGGUUAUU
ensembl:lncRNA